AAGGGGAGCAAUCCCUGAGUAGAGUGGCAAACGGGUGAGUAACACGUGGGUGACCUGCCUUCGAGUGGGGGAUAACGUCCCGAAAGGGACGCUAAUACCGCAUGACAUCCUGCUCUUGGACGAGCGGAGAUCAAAGCUGGGGAUCGCAAGACCUGGCGCUUGAAGAGGGGCCCGCGCCUGAUUAGCUAGUUGGUGAGGUAACGGCUCACCAAGGCAACGAUCAGUAUCCGGCCUGAGAGGGCGGACGGACACACUGGGACUGAGACACGGCCCAGACUCCUACGGGAGGCAGCCGUGGGGAAUUGUUCACAAUGGGCGCAAGCCUGAUGACGCAGCGCCGCGUGGGGGAUGAAGGUCUUCGGA
rnacentral:rRNA from 1 species